rnacentral:rRNA from 1 species
CGCAUCUGUGCAUGCAGCAUAUCAAUAAGCGGAGGAAAAGAAACUAACAAGGAUUCCCCUAGUAACGGCGAGUGAAGCGGGAAGAGCUCAAAUUUGAAAUCUUAAAGGGUUUCCCUUUACGAAUUGUAGUUUAAAGAAGUGUUUUCUGUUGAGGUUUUGGUAAAAGUUCUUUGGAAUAGGACAUCAUAGAGGGUGAGAAUCCCGUAUUUGACCUUUACUUUCAACUUUGUGAUACACUUUCAAAGAGUCGGAUUGUUUGGGAAUGCAGUCCAAAAUGGGUGGUAAAUUUCAUCUAAAGCUAAAUAUUGGCGAGAGACCGAUAGCGAACAAGUACCGUGAGGGAAAGAUGAAAAGAACUUUGAAAAGAGAGUUAAACAGUACGUGAAAUUGUCAAAAGGGAAGCGUUUGACACCAGUGUUGUUUUCCUGAAAAUCAAUUAAAGAACUGUUUAUGCUAAGCUGUUUAGACUUUAUCAGCUAUCUGUUUAGUUUUAGGCUUUUCUUUAAUGCACUUUUCAGUUAACAAGUCAACAUCAAUUUCUUUUGCUGUAAAAAAGCUUGAGGAAGGUGGCUUGAGAUUCGUCUUAAGUGUUUAUAGCCUCUUGCCUAUGCAGUCGGAGAGAUUGAGGUCUGCAGCGUAGAUCCUUCGGGGCUAAAUGCAUUUGUGCUAAGUUAUAACAUUUUAUAGACAACUUGUUGACUAUGAUUUGUCUUGUAGCUUACUCGCUUAUGUUAUUUUACCUACGCUUAGGAUGUUGAACGCGCACAGAGUCUC